GACGUAGGAGGCGAGCGUUUGUCCGGAUUCAUUGGGCGUAAAGAGCGCGCAGGCGGCUUGGUAAGUCGGAUGUGAAAACCCGAGGCUCAACCUCGGGCGUGCAUCCGAAACUGCUCGGCUAGAGGUAGGUAGGGGAGAUCGGAAUUCCUGGUGUAGCGGUGAAAUGCGCAGAUAUCAGGAGGAACACCGGUGGCGAAGGCGGGAUCUCUGGGCCUACUGACGCUGAGGCGCGAAAGCUAGGGGAGCGAACUGG
rnacentral:rRNA from 1 species